rnacentral:ncRNA from 2 species
UACCUUUACCCCCGUAGAGGUGGCCAGACCCCAAUUGCGGGGCGCGGCUGAAAAGGGAAUCCGGUUAAAAUCCGGAGCUGUCCCCGCAACUGUACGCUUCAUAUAACCAGGCACGCCAAUCCCCCGGCCACUGUUUCGCAGAAGGUUUUCCCACUGGAAAACCCGAGAGAUGGGAAGGCGGCGUGCCCGAAGCAAGCCAGGAGACCUGCCCCUACGCAUCCUAAGUU